rnacentral:rRNA from 1 species
AACGAACGCUGGCGGCAUGCCUAACACAUGCAAGUCGAACGAGAUCUUCGGGUCUAGUGGCGCACGGGUGCGUAACGCGUGGGAAUCUGCCCUUUGGUUCGGAAUAACAGUUGGAAACGACUGCUAAUACCGGAUGAUGACGAAAGUCCAAAGAUUUAUCGCCAGAGGAUGAGCCCGCGUAGGAUUAGCUAGUUGGUGUGGUAAAGGCGCACCAAGGCGACGAUCCUUAGCUGGUCUGAGAGGAUGAUCAGCCACACUGGGACUGAGACACGGCCCAGACUCCUACGGGAGGCAGCAGUGGGGAAUAUUGGACAAUGGGCGAAAGCCUGAUCCAGCAAUGCCGCGUGAGUGAUGAAGGCCUUAGGGUUGUAAAGCUCUUUUACCCGGAAUGAUAAUGACAGUACCGGGAGAGUAAGCUCCGGCUAACUCCGUGCCAGCCGCCGCAGUAA